UCUGUACAGACCACUUUACUGCAUUUACCUGCUUAUAUGUCAUUCUAAUCCUACCUGUAAUGAUAUCACCUCUGUGUAUCGAUAAGAAAGGAUCCACAAUAGACAACAGGAGAUAUCACAGCAUGUC